rnacentral:lncRNA from 1 species
UAGUCUCUGGUGAAUCUACUCUUUUUCUUGUGUUCCAGAACCUUCAUUAACAAAGCUUCUAUAGAUUCUGAAUUGAAGAUAAUUGCCCCCCCCACAAUUCUCAUCAUUUAGUAGAUACCUCUUUAUAGAAUAAAUUAUGUGGACCACAAAUGAAACAAAGAUAGUUCAGGAAAAUAUAGUUUCCUAAAUAUCAUUACUGUGUGUGUGUGUGUGUAUUCUUGGGCUGGGUUGUGGGGGAUAAGUAACUUAGUGGUCAGUGCCUGCUUAGCAUGCAUGAGGCCCUGGGUUUGAUCCCCAGUUUGACAAACACAAACAACAAACAAAUCCCAAGAGGUGUACUCUCUUUCUGCUCUGUUCUUCUCUUCAAAGGAUUUUUGUAUCAUAAUCUCUGUAGUAGAUAGUGUCCUGUUAUUGGAUUAUGUAAAGGUGAUGUGUGUGUGGGAUCCUUUAUGAAGCAAAAAAGAUAACUUACUUUAAAAAUAAAAAAACUAUGUAAAAAUGCUAAUUAGUUAAGUAUUUAUCACUUUAAAUAAAAUGUUUAACCUGCUCACUAUAUAUCUAAUUUUUUAAGUUUUUAUAUUUCUGAGUAUUGUCCAGUAUCUGGGUUGAACAGUCACUACAAACAAAUCUAAACCAAAUGGUUUAUGCUUUUCAUUUCCCAGUUUAGUUCUUUGACCAUGCUCUGACUUUUCAUUAUUUGAUUCCCUUUCAACUAAACCUAAUUUACUUACAUUUGCACAAUGCUGUGUUAAUUCUUUAUGUAGAAUUGGUUUUCUUGUGUAUUUCCCCCCAAGUUUAGGUUAAAAAAGCAAAUAAAUGACUGUGCUCUUGGCAGCUGUUUCAAAAUUGUAGCUGUAUAAAGGGUCACAUAUAUUAAAUUACCCUCUAUAAUACUAAUUAUCGUGUGAAUUGUCGUUUAAA